UACGUAGGGUGCGAGCGUUAAUCGGAAUUACUGGGCGUAAAGCGUGCGCAGGCGGUGAUGUAAGACAGGUGUGAAAUCCCCGGGCUUAACCUGGGAACUGCAUUUGUGACUGCAUCGCUGGAGUGCGGCAGGGGGGGAUGGAAUUCCGCGUGUAGCAGUGAAAUGCGUAGAUAUGCGGAGGAACACCGAUGGCGAAGGCAAUCCCCUGGGCCUGCACUGACGCUCAUGCACGAAAGCGUGGGGAGCAAACAGG
rnacentral:rRNA from 1 species